UUUUUUACUAUUACAUGCUGUAUACGUACAAAUAAAAAAUAUUUGUUCAUAGUCUUUAAAUUUCUUCUUCACUAUUAUAAACUGUAAACCCAAAAUAAAUGAAUAAAAAUUAAAAUAUCAUAGAAAAUUAGGAGAAAUAAAAGGGAAAAACAACAAGAAAUAAAGCAAACGAUAAAUAGGAAGAAGGGGUCUAAGCCCCCACCUACGUCGAAAUGACGACCAUCCCUCCAGCUGCCACCACUGUCACCACCACCGAGCGACCAACAUCCUGCAUCCUCAUUUCCUCUAUGCGUUUUCUUUUAUUUUCCUUUCCUUGCUUUGCUUUUCUUUUUCCUACAAACUUUUUCUUUGAAACCCUCACCCAAAUCAAUUGAUUUUUUCCUUCUCUAUUUAGCUUCAGCUUUUUUCUUGUUUUUUCUUUCGUUUUAUUUUUCAUCAACCAGUCCAACAUUUUCUCCAUUUU
rnacentral:lncRNA from 1 species